UACGUAGGGUGCAAGCGUUGUCCGGAAUUAUUGGGCGUAAAGAGCUCGUAGGCGGUCUGUCGCGUCGGCUGUGAAAUCCCGAGGCUCAACCUCGGGUCUGCAGUCGAUACGGGCAAACUAGAGUAUUGCAGGGGAGACUGGAAUUCCUGGUGUAGCGGUGAAAUGCGCAGAUAUCAGGAGGAACACCGGUGGCGAAGGCGGGUCUCCGGGCAAUAACUGACGCUGAGGCGCGAAAGCGUGGGGAGCGAACAGG
rnacentral:rRNA from 1 species